UACGGAGGGUGCUAGCGUUGUUCGGAAUUACUGGGCGUAAAGCGCACGUAGGCGGCUUGCCAAGUUGGAAGUGAAAGCCCAGGGCUCAACCUUGGAAUUGCUUUCAAAACUGGCAGGCUAGAGUUCGAUAGGGGAGAGUGGAAUUCCUAGUGUAGGGGUGAAAUCCGUAGAUAUUAGGAGGAACACCAGAGGCGAAGGCGACUCUCUGGAUCGAUACUGACGCUAAGGUGCGAAAGCGUGGGGAGCAAAC
rnacentral:rRNA from 1 species